UUAUUUUGAUUAUUUAACAGUCUUCUAAAACUUAGUAAUUGUAACAAGUUACAUACACAACAAAUAAUAAAUGUAUACAAAAGUAUAAUAAAAAUAUGGCAGGGGUUACUAAUAAAACUCCAAUGAAAAAGCACUGACGACAUUUGAAUGAGAGCAGAGGUUCAUGGUUUUGAGAGUUUUUUGUUGUUGUUGUUUGUUUCUUGCAGUAAAUAUUGAAAGUAAAACGAAAUCCAGUUCUUUCAGAAACACAGAAGUAAUUGCUUUAAUCUUUGCAAAUACACAUUGUGAAUAUAUACUAAACAAGAAAGAGCCAUCUAUUUUAUCCUGUGUUUUAAGCUCUUGUAAAGUAAAUAUGACACUGCGGGCUUGGAUCAUAUUAGCCAAAUGUGGGCAACCUGUAUACAUUGGUUUGGACAUGCAUGUGGAUAUCUGAAUUUGAAAAGGAAUGUGUGUGUGUGUGUGUGUGUGUGUGUGUGUGUGUGUGUGUGUGUGUGUGUGUGUGUGUGUGUGUGUGUGUGUGUGUGUGUGUGUGUGUGUGUGUGUGUGUGUGAG